CUGGUCGACAGGUCACCUGACUUCCUGCUGUCGCAGAGAUUAUCACUGCUGCGUGUGAAACUAGCUCUCACACCAAGGCUGCUGUGGGAAACUCCCGUGCUGUGCUGCCUCUCGCACCGAGCCGACGUCCGUGUGUGGCUUCCGUGUGUGGCAAACCCCCGUCAUCCGGUGGUCUGAGAGCGCGGAGUGGUGGUGCCUCUGCGGUGCGGGUCCCCGGUUUAGUCUAAUCCUCCCCUCAUCUUCAUGCUGAUCACGUUUGCCUGUGCUGUGGGACUGAAGUGCGGUGUGAAGUGUUUUUGUCUUGCACGUGUGCCUGGGGUGGCCUUUGUUUGGAUCCCCUCACCUCAUUUAGCCCACCUAUCUCCUGGUAAGCCUCAGCCAUCUUUUAUUUUUGAAUCGUGGGUUUUGUUUUGUUGAUUGUAAAUAAAGAUUGUUUAAUUGAUUGGACGCUUGUCUCCCGCCUCGUUAGUAUAACGGACCUGGUUGCCUUGUUGGAGUUCUGUUAUUAUUCCCCGGGUGAAAGUCCCAGGGUGGCGUUGUCGCAAUUUUAAAAA